rfam:Pteropus alecto contig90510, whole genome shotgun sequence.
GUCUACAGCCAUGCUACCCUGAACAAGCCCAAUCCCGUCUGAUCUUGGAAGCUAAGCAGGGUCGGGCCUGAUUAGUACUUGGAUAGGAGACCACCCAGGAAGACUAGGUGCUGUAGAUG